rnacentral:rRNA from 1 species
ACAGCAGCCGCCGCGGGAAUACGUAGGGUGCGAGCGUUAAUCGGAAUUACUGGGCGUAAAGCGUGCGUAGGCGGUUCGUUAAGUCUGUUGUGAAAGCCCCGGGCUCAACCUGGGAAUGGCAAUGGAUACUGGCGAGCUAGAGUGUGUCAGAGGAUGGUGGAAUUCCCGGUGUAGCGGUGAAAUGCGUAGAGAUCGGGAGGAACAUCAGUGGCGAAGGCGGCCAUCUGGGACAACACUGACGCUGAGGCACGAAAGCGUGGGGAGCAAACAGGAUUAGAUACCCGCGUAGUCCCUGUCUCUUAUAC